UGCCGCGUGUGUGAUGAAGGCCUUCGGGUUGUAAAGCACUUUUGGCCGGGACGAUGAUGACGGUACCUGCAGAAUAAACCCCGGCUAACUUCGUGCCAGCAGCCGCGGUAAU
rnacentral:rRNA from 1 species